UGGGGAAUCUUGCGCAAUGGGCGAAAGCCUGACGCAGCCAUGCCGCGUGAGUGAUGAAGGCCUUAGGGUUGUAAAACUCUUUCACCGGGGACGAUAAUGACGGUACCCGGAGAAGAAGCCCCGGCUAACUUCAUGCCAGCAGCCGCGGUAAUACGAAGGGGGCUAGCGUUGCUCGGAAUUACUGGGCGUAAAGGGCGCGUAGGCGGAUCAGCAAGUUGGGGGUGAAGCCCGGGGCUCAACCUCGGAAUUGCCUUCAAACUGCUGAUCUAGAGUACGGGAGAGGUGUGUGGAACUCCGAGUGUAGAGGUGAAAUUCGUAGAUAUUCGGAAGAACACCAGUGGCGAAGGCGACACACUGGCCCGUUACUGACGCUGAGGCGCGAAA
rnacentral:rRNA from 1 species